AGUCGGAAUUGCUAGUAAUCGCAGAUCAGCAUGCUGUGGUGAAUACGUUCCCGGGCCUUGUACACACCGCCCGUCACACCAUGGGAGCCGGUAAUACCCGAAGUCAGUAGCCUAACCGCAAGGAGGGCGCUGCCGAAGGUAGGAUUGGCGACUGGGGUGAAGUCGUAACAAGGUACC
rnacentral:rRNA from 1 species